GCAGUCGACGAGAAGUGGAGCAAUCCAUGAGUAAAGUGGCGCACGGGUGAGUAACACGUGACUAACCUACCCUUGAGUGGGGAAUAACCUCGGGAAACCGGGGCUAAUACCGCAUAAUACCUUCGGGUCAAAGGAGCAAUUCGCUUAAGGAGGGGGUCGCGGCUGAUUAGCUAGUUGGUGGGGUAAUGGCCUACCAAGGCAAUGAUCAGUAUCCGGCCUGAGAGGGCGCACGGACACACUGGAACUGAAACACGGUCCAGACUCCUACGGGAGGCAGCAGUGGGGAAUUUUGCACAAUGGGGGAAACCCUGAUGCAGCAACGCCGCGUGGAGGAUGAAGUCCCUUGGGAUGUAAACUCCUUUCGACCGGGACGAUAAUGACGGUACCGGUGGAAGAAGCCCCGGCUAACUCUGUGCCAGCAGCCGCGGUAAUACAGAGGGGGCAAGCGUUGUUCGGAAUUAUUGGGCGUAAAGGGUGCGUAGGCGGUGCGGUAAGUCUUCUGUGAAAUCUCCGGGCUCAACUCGGAGCCUGCAGGAGAAACUGCCGUGCUUGAGUAUGGGAGAGGUGAGUGGAAUUCCUGGUGUAGCGGUGAAAUGCGUAGAUAUCAGGAGGAACACCUGUGGCGAAAGCGGCUCACUGGACCAUAACUGACGCUGAGGCACGAAAGCUAGGGGAGCAAACAGGAUUAGAUACCCUGGUAGUCCUAGCCCUAAACGAUGAUUGCUUGGUGUAGCAGGUACCCAAUCCUGCUGUGCCGCAGCUAACGCGUUAAGCAAUCCGCCUGGGGAGUACGGUCGCAAGGCUG
rnacentral:rRNA from 1 species